AAUUAUCCUGUAUUAUAUUGUAUGAUAUACUUUCUGUGACAGAUCCAAUUCAAGCUCCAAUCCAAGGGCUCUACAUUCUCCCCGUUUCUGCAGAAACUAUUUCUCCUAUCACUGCUCUGCAAGAGGAAAACACAGAGACAAUUUCUCCUACCAUUGCUCUGCAAGAGGACAACUCAGAGACAGUAGUAAGCUUGGACGAUGUCACCAUGUCCCCUGCAAAAGUAAAAUGCCCUUCUUGCCAGAAGAUUGUCAGCACUGAGAUCUACUAUAAACUGGGCAGCAAUGCCUUUCUCUUUUGCUGUCUCUUAUCUGUGGUAGGGUGCCUGGCCGGAUGUUGCCUGGUCCCCUUUUGUAUGAAUCGCUUCAAAGAUGUCAUCCACAGGUGUCCAUCCUGCCACAAAGAUAUAUGUUCAGUAAAUAGAAUUUGAAGCAAAGAGUAAUAAAGUUAUUGAUCUGCAAUAACAUGACUGUGAAAACCUCCAGAAGAGCUUAAAGCUGAGCACAGGGGUCAGGCCUGGAAUUUUGUCUCUGUGCUGGGGAAGUCCACAUGUAGGCUUUGAAAUGU